AGCAGCCGCGGUAAUUCCAGCUCCAAUAGCGUAUAUUAAAGUUGUUGCAGUUAAAAAGCUCGUAGUUGAAUUUCGGGAUCAGUGGGUCGGUCGUGCCACUGGUAUGUACUGGCCCUACUGGUUCCUCCUUCUUGAAGAACUGUAAUGCCAUUAAUUUGGUGUUGCAGGGAAACAGGACUGUUACUUUGAAAAAAUUAGAGUGUUUAAAGCAGGCAAUCGCUUGAAUACAUUAGCAUGGAAUAAUGAAAUAGGACGUUCGAUCCUAUUUUGUUGGUUUCUAGGAUUGACGUAAUGAUUAAUAGGGAUAGUUGGGGGCAUUAGUAUUCAAUUGUCAGAGGUGAAAUUCUUGGAUUUAUUGAAGACUAACUACUGCGAAAGCAUUUGCCAAGGAUGUUUUCAUUAAUCAAGAACGAAAGUUAGGGGAUCGAAGACGAUCAGAUACCGUCGUAGUCUUAACCAUAAACUAUGCCGACUAGGGAUCGGAUGAUGUUAAUUUUUUAAUGACUCAUUCGGCGCCUUACG
rnacentral:rRNA from 1 species